GUGUCAGCACGGGCCAUGACAGCGGCCACGGCACAGCUCAGCAGCCACGGGCGCCUCCGGCUCCUUCCGGGCCAGGCGUCGGGGUGGGCGUUCUUCCGG
rnacentral:lncRNA from 1 species